CAAGAAGUAAAAUUAUCUUUUCUGCUGUUUUCUGUUCCAUUAACCCUUAACUGGUACAGUGAAAUAGACUCACCGUUUGAAAAAUUGCAACAUAAAUUUAAUUAGAAAUGUGAAGUCUAGGUCAAUUGCGACUUAAACUUACAAAACAUAUACAAAGAUAUUAACCUAAAGUUACACAUAUAACCUUCUGUCUACACCGAGAGGAAGGUAUGGGAGCGCGAUUUGAAUGUCUUCUGUGCAAAAGGAAUAAACUCCAAACUUGUACUAAUUUGAUCAGCACAGUGUUUCAUUGGCACGUACGCGGAUCACGUGCUCGUAGCCCGAUCGUUGCGAUGAUGCCCCCCACCACCGAUCGAUAAUCGCAGCAGUAUAGACAGUGACGCCCGAGGUCAGCCACUUGCCUGACUGUGCGUGCUCCGAGUGAACCGGAUGGUCCAAAGAAUGGCAACCAAAUGCAGGGAAGUAACAGUGGUCCAGAACUGAAAUUUAGCUGUUCAGAUUUUGAAUUGACCGGAAUAAUCCGUAAUUUUUUAUAAAUAAAUAUCAAAAAUAUUUUAAUCGAAAUAUGAAAAAUAUUUUUUAUAAGAAAAAACAAAAAUAAUUGUUACAAACUGUUGCAAACGAUAAUAAUAAUCUAUUAUUUGAUGUUAAUUAUCUAAUGUAGAACUUUACCAUAUAAUAGCCUCUUAACGCAUCACGCAGUUCCGGUGACCGACCCGCCUUAAACAAUAAUAAUUCUCUUUCUGAGACGAAGUGAGACGUGAUUCUAAUAUGACUAUGCAGCGAAAAGUAUACAAAAAAUAUUCUACUUUACAAAAAUGCGCUACUAUUUAAGACCCAAAAGAUAUUCUGUGUCAAAGAUGGAAAACUUCGACGAUUCUCUUUGAUCCAUUGAAUGUUAUUUUUUUUAUAUAAAUUAUAAACAAUGAGUUUUAACUUAAGGUGCAUUCUCAUUGUAGAUAGAUACUCUUUAUUUAUAGACAAAAAUGGACAUAUAAUAUUAAAUAGACUUAGCAAGGUAUCAAUAAGAAGAAAAGCAAAUUUUUUCGGUGAAAAAUGGUAUUUAUGAAAUGUUCAUCUUUAAACGCUUGUUCUAAUCACAAUUUAUAAUA